AUUGAACGCUGGCGGAAUGCUUUACACAUGCAAGUCGAACGGCAGCACGGGGGCAACCCUGGUGGCGAGUGGCGAACGGGUGAGUAAUACAUCGGAACGUGUCCUAUGGUGGGGGAUAACCUGGCGAAAGCCAGGCUAAUACCGCAUGAGCUCGCAAGAGCAAAGCAGGGGAUCGCAAGACCUUGCGCCGCAGGAGCGGCCGAUGUCCGGUUAGCUAGUUGGUGGGGUAAAGGCUCACCAAGGCGACGAUCGGUAGCUGGUCUGAGAGGAUGAUCAGCCACACUGGGACUGAGACACGGCCCAGACUCCGACGGGAGGGAGCAGUGGGGAAUUUUGGACAAUGGGGGCAACCCUGAUCCAGCCAUGCGGCGUGAGUGAAGAAGUCCUUCGGGUUGUAAAGCUCUUUCGGUGGGAACGAAACGGGGCGUGCUAAUACCACGCACCAAUGGCGGUACUCACAGAAGAAGCACCGGCUAACUACGUGCCAGCCGCCGCCGUAACAC
rnacentral:rRNA from 1 species